CUUUGAAUCUGGCGCGGUCUUCCUAAGUAUCGUGGGGCGGAGCUAAGCGCCGUGAACCCGGAAGUGGGUUCCGGCGGCAGCAUGAAUGUUAGGUAUACCUGACACAAUCCAUAUCAACUUGAAUGCCACUUUCUGCGCCUACCAUGGUGACCACAGGUAACGGAGAAUCAGGGUUUGAUUCCAGAGAGGGAGCCUGAGAAAUGGCUACCACAUGCAAGGAAGGCAGCAGGCGCGCAAAUGACCCACUCCUGACGCGGGAAGGUAGUGAUG